rnacentral:rRNA from 1 species
AUUGAACGCCGGCGGCAUGCCUUACACAUGCAAGUCGAACGGCAGCACGGGAGCAAUCCUGGUGGCGAGCGGCGAACGGGUGAGUAAUAUAUCGGAACGUGCCCAGUCGUGGGGGAUAACGCAGCGAAAGCUGUGCUAAUACCGCAUACGAUCUAAGGAUGAAAGCGGGGGAUCGCAAGACCUCGCGCGAUUGGAGCGGCCGAUAUCAGAUUAGCUAGUUGGUGGGGUAAAGGCCCACCAAGGCGACGAUCUGUAGCUGGUCUGAGAGGACGACCAGCCACACUGGAACUGGGACACGGUCCAGACUCCUACGGGAGGCAGCAGUGGGGAAUUUUGGACAAUGGGCGCAAGCCUGAUCCAGCAAUGCCGCGUGCAGGAUGAAGGCCUUCGGGUUGUAAACUGCUUUUGUACGGAACGAAACGGCCCUUUCUAAUACAGGGGGCUAAUGACGGUACCGUAAGAAUAAGCACCGGCUAACUACGUGCCAGCCGCCGCCGUAA